rnacentral:rRNA from 1 species
AUGCAUCCGGCUGGUGUUGUAAGCCGGGUCGCUAUGAUGCAAGAUUCCGUUGUUGGAAGCCUUGCAGCAACGCCUGGUGCUGUGAGCAUGACGACGGCGCGGACUGCCGGAGAUGCUGAGAUGGUGGCGCAGCUUCUCCGGCAAUGUUACGACGGAUGCUGCGAAUGGCGACCUAGCUGCGAUGGUGGCGAGUCGGCUCCUGCGAACACGACGGCAGGCCGACUGCUCGGCGAUGCUACGACGGUGGUGCGGCUUCUCCGGCGAUGCUGCGAUGGCGACACUGCUGCGAUGGCGGCGAGUCGGCUCUCCGCUGCAGCAACGUCGGCUACUGCUGGCGCAACAACAGUCGGCUGCUCGGCUGCAGCAACGCCGGCUGCUGCGGGCACGACGACGGUCAGCCCUUGA